GCUUACGGCCAUUCCACCCUGAGCACGCCCAAUCUUUUCAGAUCUCGGAAGUUAAGCAGGGUUGGCUCAUGGUUAUUACUUGGAUGAGAGACAGCCUGGGAAUACCAGGUGCGGUAAACU
ensembl:rRNA 5S_rRNA 5S ribosomal RNA